UACGUAGGGUCCGAGCGUUGUCCGGAAUUAUUGGGCGUAAAGGGCUCGUAGGCGGUUCGUCACGUCGGGAGUGAAAACUCGGGGCUUAACCCCGAGCCUGCUUCCGAUACGGGCAGACUAGAGGUAGGCAGGGGAGAGCGGAACUCCUGGUGUAGCGGUGGAAUGCGCAGAUAUCAGGAAGACCCCCGGUGGCGAGGCCGGCUCUCUGGGCCUACCUGACGCUGAGGAGCGAAAGCGUGGGUAGCGAACAGG
rnacentral:rRNA from 1 species